rnacentral:misc_RNA from 1 species
GAUGAAGAACGUAGCGAAAUGCGAUAAGUAAUGUGAAUUGCAGAAUUCAGUGAAUCAUCGAAUCUUUGAACGCACAUUGCGCCCAUUAGUAUUCUAGUGGGCAUGCCUGUUCGAGCGUCAUUUCUACCCUUAAGCCUAGCUUAGUAUUGGGAAUCGACUUUACUGUCGUUCCUCAAAUUCAACGGCGGAUUUAUAGCAAUCUCUGAACGUAGUAAUUUUUUUUCUCGUUUUUGAAAUACUAUAAACCUCAGCCGCUAAACCCCCAAUUUCUUAUGGUUGACCUCGGAUCAGGUAGGAAUACCCGCUGAACUUAAGCAUAUCAAUAAGCGGAGGA